CCUGGUUCUUCUACUUCCUCACCAAAAGCUCAUUUGUUGUGACCAAGAUCAUUUUCCUCUUUUAUGAGAGGUGUUCAAAAUUUUGCUACAACAUCCAGGGUUAUCAAGAGGCUUGAGGCAACCUUCUGGCUGUAGCACACAGGACACUAGCAAUUGCUACAAGGAAGCCUUCCAGCUGCAGACUUAGCGGUCAGCUUGAAGAUAAAACUGUCCA